CAAUCACUUGUCUUUUAAAUGGAGACCGGUAUGAAUGGCAAGACGAGGGCCUAACUGUCUCCUUUUUCCAGUCAAUGAAAUUGAUCUCCCCGUGCAGAAGCGGGGAUUAACACAUAAGACGAGAAGACCCUGUGGAGCUUUAGACACCAAGACAGCUUAUGUUACACAACUCUAUAUAAAGACCCGAACGAAAUAAACCCUGCCCAGAUGUCUUUGGUUGGGGCGACCGCGGGGAAACGAAAAACCCCCGAGUGGACAGGGAGAACAAUAUUCUCCUACAAAUAAGAGCCCCCGCUCUAAUUAACAGAAACUCUGACCUACCAGAUCCGGCCUAGCCGAUCAACGAACCGAGUUACCCCAGGGAUAACAGCGCAAUCCUCUUUCAGAGCUCA
rnacentral:rRNA from 1 species